rnacentral:lncRNA from 1 species
AUGUUCUUCAUAUGCACAUGGGCCCACAGGCACCUCCAGCAGGUUGUCUGUGGGUGGAUUGAAGGUUGUGUUUGCCUCAAUGUACCUAUGUGCACCACAUACAUGCCUGGUGCCAGUGAAGAACAGAAGAAGCCACUGGAUACUGUGGAAAUGGAGUUACAGGUUGGUUUGGUUUUGAGCUGUCCAAUGUCAAAAAAAUCAAUAAGAAAAUGAAUGAAAGUGAGACUGAUAUAUGAAAGGAUGAAGGAUGGAUGAGUGAGUGAGUGACGCUGGAGGAUGUGGCUCUUUACCUAAAUGUCUCAAUCACAAAGUUUUUUUUCAUUCCUACAGGGGAUGGCCAGCUAGGAGCCAAGGAAUCAGAGUGAUUUUAUCUAUGGCUUAAAGAUAUUUAAGGACCCUCUAUGUCCUCAAGUAGGAAGUCCUUUACCCUGGGGUCAGUCCAUGCAAGGGAAGGAUUCAAGUUAUACAAAUACCAGGCAUAUGUGAUCUGUAAACUCUUGCAACGUCUACCGUCACAGCAAACACCCUAAGUGAACAAGUCCUAAGCUUUGAAAAGGAUGCAACGCAUAAGAUGAAAGAAUGCUGCGAUAGGGUUAAGAGAAAAAGGUAGCCAACUCCUGUUUGCAUUUGAAUCUGGCAUAGGAUCUUGAGCAAAUGACAGAACUUCUCUAUACAUAUGUUCCCUACCUCUGACAUAGAAGGUAGUACCGUCACUUGUCCUGCCUAUCAUUUUUUAUAAAUGCAUGUGAGUUUCAAGCUGUUUGACAUAAUUUAAAGCGACCCCCUACCCAUCUUUUAAUGUUCAAAGAAGACUGCCAAUCAUGCUUGGUACCAUAGAUACCUAACAGCUAUAGUUUUGUUGUUAUUACUAUUAUUAUGGCCCAUAGUGUUGGAAUCUAUUCCAACCCUGUGCUAAGCUAGUUUACACAUAUGGACUCUUCAUUCUGUGCUGUUUGAUAACACAAGCCUACUCCAUCCUGAAGUCAGAAGGACAGUUAAAGAAUCUGAUAUCUCUCAAAGAGGUUUCCUAAGAUGUCCUGAUUGUCCAUCUUCUCCCUGCCACAGUACAAAAUAAGUCCUCUGACACUCGUGUUUUCUAAGCUAUCAGUCUCAUGGAAAGAGCUGUUGAAAUAACAAUGUGGGCAAAGAAGUGUCUUGGUGACCUGUCCCAACACCCCAGCCAGUCCUUUACCCUCCUCAUCCAUCUUUGCUCCUCAAAGACCCUGAGACAGGGGAACAUGGCACAUCCUCUGACCAGCAGGAGAUUGCAGUUAGACAACUAGAACCAGGGUGAACUUGUGGGAGUAUUGCUUUCCUCUUAACUGCUCCGGAGAUGUUGAUGACAGCUCAAAUGCUACCAACUCCACCGCCAUCAUCUCAAGGGGAGCCAGAUCUGCAGGAGUCUCCAAUGAUGGAGAUUUGUCGCCCCUUUGAGGCACAGGGAAGUCAAGCUCUUCAAUUAUCGGUUCAGCUGUAAGAGCAAGGCUCCCUAGUUCACCUAACCUGUUUUAUUGACUUUAGUUUGCUUUCUGUGUAGUUUGUGAUUUCAACAACUUGAAUGAAGCACAAACAACCAUAAAGAGAAUGAACCUUCUGUGGUGAUUCAAUUCUUCCAGUCAGUGGAAGACUGUGUCUCAAGCAUGCUUUUGACAUGAAAACCAAUCAAUUAAGGGCCAUCCCUUUACUAUCUGAUUUGAGCCCACCUUACCUUCCCCUACUCCCUGAGAAUUCAAUUAUUUUCUGUUUUAGUCAUCCUAGGGUAGAUUUCAGGCAGCUCAAGAUGACCACUGUGCUCAAACCACACACCCGAAAAUAUGUGACAGGCCCAUCUUAAACUCAUGAUACUGCCUGUCUUUUCUUUCUCAUGGAAACUAACAUGAAAAGCUGUGGAGACUCGUGCUCUCUCCCCAUUCCCAUCUUUAGACACCUGACCAAAAUAUGGUAAUUCCCCCUUGUAGUCCUGUACAGACUAUGAUAGCCUCUUUUCAGGGCUCUGUGUCUCGUGACUGUGUUGUACUCUUUCUCUUGCAUCUCCUUUUGCAGGGGCAUAUCUUUUUAAUCUUGAGAAAAAGCACAAAAUAUUAACUUGGUUGAGCAUUCAAGUAGUGAGAAUGACCCCAGAGCUUGGGGGACAGAGCAGUUGAUGCCCAGUUCCAUGUAGAACUGAAUCUGACUAUCUUUCUGGAGAGCCAAUGAGGAAGAGCCUGUCAUACACUGUACCCCAGCCUUCUAAUUCUCAGAGUUUAUUCUAAGAAAGGAAAAAGUUGAACAUUGAUACGUAUGUCUGAGAAGGGUAUAUCGCUGUUUUAAUUACAAUUAUAAAGGUUUAGAAUUUGGUACUAUGUCUAAUGAUUAGGGAAAAGUAUCUCAUGUAAUAACAUACUCAACUGCCAUUAAAACUAUGUUUGAAAGAAAUGCUUUGUUCUAUGGGAAUGUAUUUAGUAUAUGAUUUCAAGCUAUGUCUUAAGGUUGGACAACAAUGUAUUUUAAAUAAUCCCAUCCAGCUCAGUCUCAGUCUACAUGUAGUUCUAAGAAAAUACCUCAGAAAAAUAAAUCAACAUAGAAAAAUCA